UACGUAGGGCGCGAGCGUUGUCCGGAAUCAUUGGGCGUAAAGCGCGUGUAGGCGGUUCGGUAAGUCUGCUGUGAAAGUCCAGGGCUCAACCCUGGGAUGCCGGUGGAUACUGUCGGACUAGAGUACGGAAGAGGCGAGUGGAAUUCCCGGUGUAGCGGUGAAAUGCGCAGAUAUCGGGAGGAACACCAAUUGCGAAGGCAGCUCGCUGGGACGUCACUGACGCUGAGACGCGAAAGCGUGGGGAGCAAACAGG
rnacentral:rRNA from 1 species